rnacentral:rRNA from 1 species
UUCCAGCUCCAAUAGCGUAUAUUAAAGUUGUUGCAGUUAAAAAGCUCGUAGUUGAAUUUCGGGGUUAGUAGGUUGGUCAUGCCUCCGGUAUGUACUGAUCUCACUGAUUCCUCCUUCCUUAUGAACCGUAAUGCCAUUAAUUUGGUGUUGCGGGGAAUUUGGACUGUUACUUUGAAAAAAUUAGAGUGUUUAAAGCAGGCUAACGCUUGAAUACAUUAGCAUGGAAUAAUGAAAUAGGACGUUCGAUCUUAUUUUGUUGGUUUCUAGGAUUGACGUAAUGAUUAAUAGGGAUAGUUGGGGGCAUUAGUAUUCAAUUGUCAGAGGUGAAAUUCUUGGAUUUAUUGAAGACUAACUACUGCGAAAGCAUUUGCCAAGGAUGUUUUCAUUAAUCAAGAACGAAAGUUAGGGGAUCGAAGACGAUCAGAUACCGUCGUAGUCUUAACCAUAAACUAUGCGACUAGGGAUCGG